rnacentral:snRNA from 1 species
UUGCUUUGGCAGCAAAUAUAUAAAAAUUGGAAUGAUACAGAUAAGAUGAGCAUGGUUCCUGCACAAGGAUUACACACAAAUUCGUGAAACAUUCGUAUUUUUA